ACUCUGUUAGAGGAAGGGACACUGCCUCAUUACUGCCAGGUGGAGGGACAAGUUCAGACUCUCCAAAAGGUCUGCAUGAACACCAUGGCAGGGGUGGCUUUUAUUCUGGCUGAUAGGGUAAACGUCCUUGCUCCUGCCUUGCCUUCCUUGACAUACCUUUGUUAUAUCCUUCUGUGUGUGGAAGCCUAGACUCCCCAUUUGGCCUUUGCUGGUGGAUGUGGAGUAAAAAACAAAACAGGCAUAGAGCCAGAAGAGCAAAGAAAGCAGCAAAGAGGUCCAUCCACUUAUGAGAGAACUGAAUAAAUAGCCAGAAGAUGGAAAACAAGGGAAAUAAAUGAUGACAAAGUAGAGAAAGAGACAGACCAACUACACGAAGAAGUUUGCUUCCAAGGAAAUCCUUCUCCAGUGACCAGAGGAAUGACCAGCUCCCCACCUUCUCACUGUCCAGCAGUCCCUGCUAACCCACAGAUUAGGUUCUUCAAUGCGGACACUGAGGUGAAGUUGGUGGUGCAAGAUGAGAGGAAGCUGGCUUACGGCACAGGGAGAAGCUGAACUUCGGUGCAACUCCCACAAACCUUAGCCAACUUGGUGGGGAGCUUUGGUGCCAAUAUUUCCUGUUGAAGUAGUCCUGUCUUGGACUUCUCAGCAUUGUACUAGGCCCUUAAGCACCCUCUUCAAUCAGUUAUUAGAUACAAGACAGCUCAGGAAGACCGUGGCAUUAGGACAGGCAGCUCUCUGCAGCUGAGGCAGCCCCGGUAGGAGCUGACAGCUGAAGAUUGUCUGGAAACUGUACCACCUACCACCAGGCAGUGAGUCCUUCUCCGAAAAAGGAUCUGGGUCAGAUGGAUGCUCAUUAACUUUCACGCACCUUUGUUUUCUCACAUACACAUCAAGUCUGUGAAUGUCCUUCUAAUCUCUGCUUUAUGUGUAUUACACAGUUCUGCGAUGUGUUUUUGUUAGUAUUCAGUACAAACACAUUUAAAAACAUUUGUCAUUAUGAUUUCUUUUUUGACACAUAGAUAUAGUUAGAUGUAUUUUUCUUAACUUCUAAAAUGUAUAGUUUUUGCCAGCUAUAUUUUUGUCAUCAGUAUUAGUUUAACUACAACAUGCUUAUAAAUAUAAUCGGCAUGAUUUCAUCAUUUUAAACUUUAUUGAGACUUGCUUUAUGUCCCAAUAGUCAAUUUUGUAAAUGAUAUUCUUCAAAAAAAUGUGUAUUCUGUAGUUGUUAGGUGUUCCUAUUCGAGAGGCUGUAACCAGGGUCUCCAACCACCAGAAAGGAAUGCUAUCUGCUAGUGGCUACUGUGGAUUAUUUUUUCAUUAUCCUCCUUUAAAAUGCAAAUAUCCUUUGGAGUGUUGAGUAAUGAACGUCUUAAAAUUGGGUAUGAGAAUGAACUGAAUUACCGAGGGAGUGGGAUUUGUGGGAAAGGACACACACACUCACACACACUCACACACACACCACUGUUUAUUGCAGGCUUAGUAACAUGCAAGUUUAUUGUGUUCACAUACAUUAUUUCACUGAAUCCCCACAAUAAUUCUGAGAGAAGGGUAUUCUACCCAUUUUAUACAUAGGAAGCUGAGGCUCAAAGAGUUUAAAGAGCUUGCUAAUAUUUGAACUCAGAGGUAUCUGAUACUGGAUUCCAUGCUCUUAAUUGCUAUGUGCCUGUCUCCCCAUAACUAGCCUCAGUUCCUUUAAUACACUAAUUUGGUCAUCUGAUUCACAAUGCAGUUAUCAUUACAUUUGUAAAGGUUUUCUCUGAUUCUAAUGGAUAUUGAAAAGAUAAGUGAUGGCAGAAUCACUUAUUCUUUAAUUUUUAAGCAUUAUCAGUGAAUCAUUAUGUAGACGGCUUAGGCUAUGAGCUCAAGAUUAUGUUAUGAGCUCAAGAAAUGCAAAGGUAAAGAAAACACAGUCCAGUCCAGUAAGAUUGGGAGACAGACAUGUGUACACACAAUGAGAAGUCAUGAAGGGAAGGUGGGCUGGCUGUGGAAUUAGUCACCUUGAAGUCUGUCUAAGGAGAGGGCUGGUAUCAGGGUGUGGACAUUUUACAUUUCUAUCACAGCAUUGUAGUUGAUCUUAGAGACUCCUACCGAAGUUUGGGGAGAAGAGAGGUAAUACAGGGAUUUAUUUUAAAUUUCUUCUUAUAAUUAGGUCAAUUCCAGAAUAUGAGGAAUGAAUGACAGUUCAAACACAGUGUCUGAAAAAGGUAACCACAUUUUGUAAAGAUUCCUUAAAUCAAUAGGUUGAAAUUCCAGUAAUAGAGCUCCAAAAUUUCAGGGGAGCCUAUCCUAUGGGAAAGCAGAGCCCUGUUGCUGGAAAUCCACUAAGCCAUUUACAAGGAGUAAAGAAGGGCUUUCUGAAAUGUUGACUUAGGGACACAGAGCUUAAACUCAGAGCACUUAUUUUCUUCUCUGCUCUCCGGCUUUCUGUCUCUGGCUGCAUCAUUAUUCUUUAUUGACUAUUUCAUAAACUCACAUUCCCUCAGCUUGGUUAAGGAAGGCAGUCUUUAAUCUUGGCGGAGCAGAUAAGGACAAUUAAAUCCUGGGCCUGCUUCCUGACACAGAUGACGGGGCUGCCUUCCUGGAACAUCAUCUUCAUGUCAUGGGUUCUGCUGUCACUUAUUUUGUUCAGAAUGUGUCAGGACAGCUAGCAUGACCUCAGCAUUCCCCUCAGGCUGGUGCUUCUUUAAUGCUGAAUAAAAUGUUCUCCUGGACUCUUUCAGGGUGGAUUUGAGACCCAGCCCUGUGGGCUGAAGGAGGAUGGGUGCAGGUCUGUGAAUCUCUUCUUAAUCUUUCAGCUAGAAAUAACUACUCCUUUCUGUGGUCCUUUUGCAAUUUACUCAUGGCUUCUUUUCUUUUCUUUUACUUCUUUUAUUUUCUUUUAUGAUUGUUCUUACAAUAGCCUGCUUUGAUCUCCACUACGUCUGGUUAUUGGAGAAUACAUCAACUGUUUUGUUGACUCAGCAAUACUUAAUCAAUUCUAAUUUCAGCACUAUUUCUUUUGAAAAUUCCUCUCACCUACUUUUGCCAGUAUAGUAAGGCUAUCAGUUUCAGCAGUAGGUUUCUUUGAUCUCCAGAACAGGUUUAGGAUCCAGGUUUGGCCCAUCAUAGUACACCAUUAUUUUGGCUUCAGUGAUUGGCUCCUCAGUGAAAUCAUGAUCCUAAAGUUGACCAAUCAGAGGUUUUUCCUGGGGAUUUUUAUAUAUGGAUACUGGGGACAGAUGGUAUUUUUUUCCUCUUGUAGUGCAAGCUGAAAGAAUGUGGUUACAAAUCUAAUUAUGGUGAUGCCCUUUAACUUAUGGAUGGGCAUAAGGGAGUGAGGCCAAAAUGCAACUUUAAGCCAAGCGAGAGAUAGAGAGAUGGAGACUGCUAGUCGGGAUGCUGUUUGAAUCCCUGAAUGCAGUCUUUCCUGAGACUAAAUUAUAUUUAGUCUUUUAACCGUAACUGCUAAAAGUAAUUUUUUACUUUUAAACUUAGAAUAUAAGUUCAAAGAGUGAAAGCAGAGAUUUUUCUUUACAUUUUCACUGCUAUAAUUCCAAAUGCCUAGAACAGUGCCUGUCACAUAGUAGGCAGUCAAUUAAUAUUUGCUUAAUGAAUAUUUGCAACUGAAUGAAACAGGAUAAUCAGAGUAUGCAUGUCUUCCUAACUGUUUUAAGGGAUUCUUGGGAAAAAAACCCAGGGAGCAAUUAUCAUAGAGUUGUUGGAAUUAAAGCUAGUUUGUGGGACUGUCCUGAGAAUUUAUUGUUAUUGAAAUUUUUUUAAAUUUUGAAGUGUAACACACAGAAAAGUGCAUAAAGCACAAAUAAGCAGUGUAAUGGGAUUAUUUAUAAAGUGGACCCAUGACCACUAGGUAGUUCAAGAAAUAGAAGGCUUCCAGCCUUCCAGAAGCUUCUCGUAUUUCCCAUCUGGAAUAUUUCCCUCUGUACCAGCCAGAGGUAAACAACAUGCUGAAUUUUAUGGUAAUCACUUCAUUGCUUUGUUUUAUAAUUGUAGCCCCACUAUAUGCAUCACAGGACAAUGCUAUUUAGUUUUGAA
rnacentral:lncRNA from 10 species